UUACAGCCAUAUCAUGUUGAAACGCUGGUUCUCAUAUGAUCAAUGAAGUUAAGCAACAUCGAGCCUGGUCAGUAUCUAGAUGGGUGACCACUUGGGAAUACCAGAUGCUGUAAG